UGUGUUUGCUGUGAUGGUGAAAAUGACUGC
rnacentral:piRNA from 1 species